UACGAAGGGGGCUAGCGUUGCUCGGAAUCAUUGGGCGUAAAGGGUGCGUAGGCGGGUCUUUUAAGUCAGGGGUGAAAUCCUGGAGCUCAACUCCAGAACUGCCUUUGAUACUGAAGAUCUUGAGUUCGGGAGAGGUGAGUGGAACUGCGAGUGUAGAGGUGAAAUUCGUAGAUAUUCGCAAGAACACCAGUGGCGAAGGCGGCUCACUGGCCCGGUACUGACGCUGAGGUGCGAAAGCGUGGGGAGCAAACAGG
rnacentral:rRNA from 1 species